rnacentral:rRNA from 1 species
AGAGGCUACUGCUAUCGGGGUUCGAUUAAGCCAUGCGAGUUAAAUGUUCUUAGUGAACAUAGCGAACUGNUCAGUAACACGUGGAUAACNUACCCUUGGGACCGGAAUAACCCCGGGAAACUGGGGAUAAUACCGGAUAAGCCAUAGACGCUGGAAUGCCCUAUGGUUCAAAGCUCCGGCGCCUAAGGAUGGAUCUGCGGUCUAUCAGGUUGUAGUGGGUGUAACGUACCUACUAGCCGACGACGGAUACGGGUUGUGAGAGCAAGAGCCCGGAGAUGGAUUCUGAGACACGAAUCCAGGCCCUACGGGGUGCAGCAGGCGCGAACACUUUACAAUGCGGGAAACCGCGAUAAGGGAACCCCGAGUGCCAGCAUCAAAUGUUGGCUGUCCAGAUGAUUAAAAAUCAUUUGUUAGCAAGGGCCGGGCAAGACCGGUGCCAGCCGCCGCGGUAACACCGGCGGCCCGAGUGGUAGCCGUUUUUAUUGGGUCUAAAGGGUCCGUAGCCGGCCUGAUAAGUCCUUUGGGAAGUCUGGCAGCUUAACUGUCAGGCUUCUAAGGGAUACUGUCAGGCUUGGGACCGGAAGAGGUAAGGGGUACUCCAGGGGUAGGAGUGAAAUCUUGUAAUCCCUGGGGGACCAUCUGUGGCGAAGGCGCCUUACCAGAACGGGUCCGACGGUGAGGGACGAAAGCUAGGGGAGCAAACCGGAUUAGAUACCCGGGUAGUCCUAGCUGUAAACGAUGCUCGCUAGGUGUCAGACACGGUGCGACCGUGUUUGGUGCCGCAGGGAAGCCGUUAAGCGAGCCACCUGGGAAGUACGGUCGCAAGGCUGAAACUUAA